CAAGGACUCUUCUCGUCCCGCCAGAGGAGGCGACCGAGGGGCCUGAGCUCAGAUCUGUGGUUUUUCUACUUGAAGGACACAAUGUUUUCCAAACUAGCACAUUUGCAGAGGUUUGCUGUACUUAGUCGCGGAGUUCAUUCUUCAGUGGCUUCUGCUACAUCUGUUGCAACUAAAAAAACAGUCCAAGGCCCUCCAACCUCUGAUGACAUUUUUGAAAGGGAAUAUAAGUAUGGUGCACACAACUACCAUCCUUUACCUGUAGCCCUGGAGAGAGGAAAAGGUAUUUACUUAUGGGAUGUAGAAGGCAGAAAAUAUUUUGACUUCCUGAGUUCUUACAGUGCUGUCAACCAAGGGCAUUGUCACCCCAAGAUUGUGAAUGCUCUGAAGAGUCAAGUGGACAAAUUGACCUUAACAUCUAGAGCUU
rnacentral:lncRNA from 1 species